AACGAACGCUGGCGGCAUGCCUAACACAUGCAAGUCGAACGAGACCUUCAGGUCUAGUGGCGCACGGGUGCGUAACGCGUGGGAACCUGCCCUUAGGUUCGGAAUAACUCCCCGAAAGGGAUGCUAAUACCGGAUAAUGUCUUCGGACCAAAGAUUUAUCGCCUUUGGAUGGGCCCGCGUUGGAUUAGCUAGUUGGUAGGGUAAAAGCCUACCAAGGCGACGAUCCAUAGCUGGUCUGAGAGGAUGAUCAGCCACACUGGGACUGAGACACGGCCCAGACUCCUACGGGAGGCAGCAGUGGGGAAUAUUGGACAAUGGGCGAAAGCCUGAUCCAGCAAUGCCGCGUGAGUGAUGAAGGCCUUAGGGUUGUAAAGCUCUUUUACCCGGGAUGAUAAUGACAGUACCGGGAGAAUAAGCUCCGGCUAACUCCGUG
rnacentral:rRNA from 1 species